rnacentral:lncRNA from 1 species
AUGAAUUUCUCUAGCUGUUCAUUGGACCCAGCUGAAGGACUGAAACUCUUCAAGAAUAGCAGGCCCCGUGAGAUCCUGAGCUCUCUUGAUGGAGAGGUGGUCACUGCUAGGGAAGGUUUUUCCCACCUGAAAGCAAAAUCCGAGAAUACACGCUCCUGUUCACAAAGCACAAAGAAAAGCUACAGAGGUGUCUUAAUCUAUAAGGAAACCAGUGCUCCAGACACUUGAUUUGAGUGAGGAUUCAACCUAAGGCACCUAAAUACAUUUCUGAAGGUGUUUUCUUUGGAUCUCUUAAUUCUUCUGAAGAAUCAUUGUCUUCCCCAAAGCAUCUCCAAUGGACAUUUCCAGCAGAGGUGGAGUUCCUUUGUUGACAAGUACUGGGAUAUUUUCAUUGUGUUCUGUGAUAGUACCAGCCAUACAAUCAGAGAUACUAGAGUUUUCUGACCCCAAAGCACUCAUGGGAAGUAAUUUCUGCGGCUGAUAUAGAGGAAAUUAUAUUAAUAAAAGUAUUUCACAAAAUUCUGGAUUCCUUCCA